rnacentral:rRNA from 1 species
UUACGGGAGGCAGCAGUGGGGAAUUUUGGACAAUGGGGGCAACCCUGAUCCAGCCAUUCCGCGUGAGUGAAGAAGGCCUUCGGGUUGUAAAGCUCUUUCGGCAGGAACGAAACGGCGCGCUCUAACAUAGCGUGUCAAUGACGGUACCUGAAGAAGAAGCACCGGCUAACUACGUGCCAGCAGCCGCGGUAAUACGUAGGGUGCGAGCGUUAAUCGGAAUUACUGGGCGUAAAGCGUGCGCAGGCGGUUUUGUAAGACAGAUGUGAAAUCCCCGGGCUUAACCUGGGAACUGCGUUUGUGACUGCAAGACUCGAGUGUGGCAGAGGGGGGUGGAAUUCCACGUGUAGCAGUGAAAUGCGUAGAGAUGUGGAGGAACACCGAUGGCGAAGGCAGCCCCCUGGGUUAACACUGACGCUCAUGCACGAAAGCGUGGGUAGCAAACAGGAUUAGAUACCCCGGU